CAAUCGAUAUAACUGAUUAUAUUUGGCACUGAAAUGAUACAUGUACAGUGCUUGAAUGGCAACUCAGAGAUAGGCUAAAAUCCUGCAUUAAAAAGGAGACAUUAAGAAAAAAUUCUGAAGUUAUGAACAUCAUAACUUUAUAAUCUAGCGAUCAUAUAGUAUAAAUCAAACAUGUCUGUGAUGGAUAGACCAUUACCAUCUGCACCACCUCCGUACACGGAGUCACAAUCGAAUUAUAUUCUGAAUAGUGCACCCCCACGUUAUACUCCAUCAGAUGUAUCAAUAAUAUCGUUUGAAACUCCAACCGCAAACAUUCCUCAAAGAAUAAUAAUAAUGGAACCUGUAAAAAACGACAAAGCCCGUGGUAAGAAAAUAUGUUGCCUGCUAUUUGUUAUGAUACACAUUAUCGUAGUAAUAACUAUCAUACUAAUUUUAUCGAAGUGAUAAUUAUCAAUUAUCACUUUUUUAAUUGUAGUAGUAAUUUAUAUAUUACUAUCGUAAUAUGCCUAAUUAAUGUAUAUAUUUAUGUGGA